GCUGGUUUUUUGCAUUUAUUAAAAUUAAAUGGUAAUCUAUCUCCUAACAUACAAAUUACUGUGACAAGUUAAAUGAUGUUCCACACUCCAAACUAAUUCCACGCCAGUUGGUUUCAUCUCAAAUAAGGUCUACCAGAUAAACACUUUGUGAGGCCAAGGUGGUGGUGACAUAUUGUGGAUCUUACACUGAUUUUCAAAAAGAUGCAUCACAGGUUCACAUUUCCACAUCUAUAAAACUUUAUUAACAAGUAAAACACGUCAGCAUGUUUUAUAUAUGGGCAAAGAUAUCCUAUAAUACUAAAUGGCACAUUAUCAUCUAACAGUUGAACUUUAUCAAGGAUGAGGUUUUAAAAAAUAAUACACUAAUAUUUCAUAUGACUUUUAAGAAUUAAGUAAUCAACAAUUAAAAUAACAGCAGUUUAAAAAUAUAAGAUCUCAUUGUUUACCGUUUACUGUAAGCUGCAAUCAUUCCAAUACAACUUUUAUCAAAAAAGAAAAGAUACUAUGCGUGUUCUACAGGCCAAGUGGUCGGGUUUUAGGAAAGGCUGUGACGACACAAACUGGCUCCUGCCCCAGUGCUCCAGUUCCUUCUCUCAAAAGGUGAUGGGCUUAGGCAGUCACUGCUCAGUACAGUGCACAGAGGUAUACAGGGCGAUCACAUAUAAUUUAGCCUCCACAGUAGGACACUUUCGGGAGAGGAGGCACUAUUUAAGCUGAGAAAACAGAAUAACCAGCACUGUUCUGAGCAAACACAGGACACAUGCCAUUCUAGUAAAAACGGGAUCAGAUGCAUUAUCAUUACUUCUGUGCUUUGGGGGACGGUAUAGAACAGCUGAAAAACAAGUUAAAUUAAGGAACCCUGAAUUUUUCGGACUCCACUUUUCCUAUUACAAGAGGUUUUGCUGGAAAUAUUAGUGAUUAUUAACAGGUUAAAAUUUGUGAACAACCUCAAAGACGUGAUAUAUCUUACAGACGCAAAAUAAAGGGCUAGAGAUUAAUAUUUUUUGUUAAACAGAGAUUCUCAUUUUAACUGAAUGUAAUAAGAUUUGUAUUUCAAUUUUAAAUUUAUAAAAUCCAUUCUGAACACACUUUUUAGAAAAAUGCAUUUUUAUCUUAGAUUCAGUUUAUAAAAAUGAAUUACCCUGGCCAUAACUAGCUAAUUCAAAUAUAACAGAAAUAAUUUAAUAAACUUUUGCAUUACUCCCAAGGCCCAGUUCACAUUCAUUCAAAAAUUGUUUAUACACCCAACAAAGAUUAUGAUUUUCAAUCUUUAAGGUACAGCGUAAGUGUGGUUAAGUGUCCCCAAAACACAACAGCAGCUCACAGGAAAUGAGGGGAAGGAUGCAGGGUUUGAGAAAUCUGGAAGAGGUUAGGUUUUUAAAAAUAAUAUUCUGAUACCCCUGAAUGGAUGAUGAGAUUUAAGGCUACCAUUGAAUUGCAACAAUUAUGAAGGAUCAGGUAACACGCACAGUGAAAUCUUAUAGAUUUGGAGGGAAAAAAAUCAAAACAAAAAGUAAACUUUUGAUGUUGAAUCAAAAGUGACAUAUUCACAUUCAGAAACCAAAUAUAAAUACCACAAAAUAAAAUAAAAUUUUAAUAAAUUGAUGUGUUUAUAGCUGAUUUAGUAAUUUAAAUUUACCAUGUAUCAUAGCUUAAUUUCAUUUAAAAAUUAAUACAAAAAACAAAGUAUAUGUCUAUAGGAAAUUAACGAGAUAAAGAAGAGAUCCAGCAUGAGUUUACAUUUCUUAUAAGCACAUUCAAAUUUUAAUUUCCAAAUCAGAAAACGACAUUCAAUAUUUUGUUUUCUUUCCCCCAUGCUAUUGUUUUACUGCCAGGGGUGUAAUAUGGUACUUUAAUCAACCAUAAAAUUCUAUGCAGGAGAGAAUGAAUGAGAGAAAACAAAAAAUAGGAGGCUCAAUUAGCAAAACAAAGCUGCAUGUUUUAUUUAUCAAAGACAAUGAAAUAAAAUCAGAAAAUACAGAGAAAUACAAAAGAAGUUAUAAAGCAUAAUAAAUUUUAUUUUUUCAGAAAUGGAAAAAUGUCCCUGAAUAGUUUUAGAUGUAUUUUUUAGUAGUAGUCAGUGUCUAGUAAGAAACAAGCAAUUUUAUAUAUUCUAUAUAGCUGCAUUAAAUGAUUUUUAAGUUUAAAAGAUGACACAAGUCCCAUCAUUUUUAAUGUUGGCAUUCAAAAGUAAAGAUAUAACUGAAAAGAAAACAGAUGAGACAUAAAAUGAUUUGCAAAAUGUAGUAGCUUAUGGAUGUAAAGUCGAUUCCAGUUGUAACAAUGGUCACAUACACACAUACUCUCGCAACACACACACCCCCCAUAUCCCUAUAUUCCACAGACAUAUUUCCAGAACUUGAAAACAGAUAUUUUGCAUAUCUCAAUUUAGGAUAUGAUUUUUACAAGUUAAUCCUACAAUUACAAUGCAAGAAGCUGUUAAUGUACAAGUUUUUAUUUGCUAAGUUUCAGAAACUAAACAUCUAAAGGAAAAAAUUAUUACAAUGAUGUUGAAAGAUACUUUUAUUGGCUUUUUAAAAGAUAAAUGCAAAUGAGAAUAUCUUAUCAGAAAAUUAAUUUUCAAAAAUGUCUUAAAUGAAAUAAAUAUAAUAUCUAACACAAUCUCCUCCUGCAAGAAUCUCUACAACAGGCAAUGCUAAAAACCAAGCUUCUCAUUUGAGAACCCCUAAAACUGGCAAGUCCUUUAAAAAAAAAAAAAAAAAGAUUUUCUUGUAAAGGACAUAUUGAAUACCCACAUUUUCUUAAAAUUUGUCCUAAAACAAUCUAUCUUUAACACCCAAAUUUUCUCUAUAUAUUAAGUUCACUUAAUUUAAAAUUAACGAAAAGAUAUCUGGACACAAUUUCUAAGAAAACACUGCAGAAAGUAAUUUAUGUAUGGUUAUUUACAGAAAGAAUUUUGCUAAAUAAUGAUAUAAAUAUCAUGUUCAAAAAUCUGACAAAGCCUUUCUAAUAGUCAGCAAUGCACGUUUCAAAACCCUUGUAUAUAAGAAAGGAUGCUUCACGUGUGGAGUUACUACGUGAAUCUAAGAGCCAGAAACUAAAGCAUUCGACAUGGGUAAUAAUUUUAUUUUUAUUAUACUAAAAGUCAGGUCAGAAGUCAAUGGCAUUUCAUGCUGGAAGACUGGCUAUCACUCAACUCUUUCAAUUAUAUCAAACACUGAUUAACCAAAUGUGAUUGGACUUUACUGCUACAACUUUACGGUCUCUUCCAAGUAUAUGCAAAUCUUUUAAAUGGGCACAUAUGCAAAUGUGCAAAACAAAUGAAAUAUAAAUAUUUAAGAGAAUGAACAGAAAUGGCUUUUAAGCGUAAACCACCCUGCCAUUCAAUUUUGAAGCUCUAUCUUUUCGUCACUAAUCGGUCUUUUGUUUUUAGUAGUCUUCUAUCCCAUUAAAGUUGUAGGUUUACAGAUGUCUGGAAGUUUCACAUUGGUGUAAGAAAGGAAUGUCUGGUGGAGGCAGUCUAGGGACAAAGAAAAAAUCAGUCUUAAAAUGUCUUAAAUUUCAAUUAUCUAAAUGAUAGUACAACAAAAACCAUUUUAUAGCAGUAUUACAUCAAGUAUAUAAUGUUCUUUUGAUAAAG
rnacentral:lncRNA from 1 species